CCUACGGGGGGCAGCAGUGGGGAAUAUUGCACAAUGGGCGCAAGCCUGAUGCAGCCAUGCCGCGUGUGUGAAGAAGGCCUUCGGGUUGUAAAGCACUUUCAGCGGGGAGGAAGGCGUUAAGGUUAAUAACCUUGGCGAUUGACGUUACCCGCAGAAGAAGCACCGGCUAACUCCGUGCCAGCAGCCGCGGUAAUACGGAGGGUGCAAGCGUUAAUCGGAAUUACUGGGCGUAAAGCGCACGCAGGCGGUCUGUCAAGUCGGAUGUGAAAUCCCCGGGCUCAACCUGGGAACUGCAUUCGAAACUGGCAGGCUAGAGUCUUGUAGAGGGGGGUAGAAUUCCAGGUGUAGCGGUGAAAUGCGUAGAGAUCUGGAGGAAUACCGGUGGCGAAGGCGGCCCCCCGGACAAAGACUGACGCUCAGGUGCGAAAGCGUGGGGAGCAAACAGGAUUAGAUACCCUUGUAGUC
rnacentral:rRNA from 1 species